AGAUUGAACGCUGGCGGCAGGCCUAACACAUGCAAGUCGAGCGGCAGCACGGGUACUUGUACCUGGUGGCGAGCGGCGGACGGGUGAGUAAUGCCUAGGAAUCUGCCUGGUAGUGGGGGAUAACGCUCGGAAACGGACGCUAAUACCGCAUACGUCCUACGGGAGAAAGCAGGGGACCUUCGGGCCUUGCGCUAUCAGAUGAGCCUAGGUCGGAUUAGCUAGUUGGUGAGGUAAUGGCUCACCAAGGCGACGAUCCGUAACUGGUCUGAGAGGAUGAUCAGUCACACUGGAACUGAGACACGGUCCAGACUCCUACGGGAGGCAGCAGUGGGGAAUAUUGGACAAUGGGCGAAAGCCUGAUCCAGCCAUGCCGCGUGUGUGAAGAAGGUCUUCGGAUUGUAAAGCACUUUAAGUGGAGAAGGCAGUUACCUAAUACGUAUCUGUUUGACGUUACCGACAGAAUAAGCACCGGCUAACUCUGUGU
rnacentral:rRNA from 1 species